rnacentral:rRNA from 2 species
GCGAUACAGGGUGACAGCCCCGUACACAAAAAUGCACAUGCUGUGAGCUCGAUGAGUAGGGCGGGACACGUGGUAUCCUGUCUGAAUAUGGGGGGACCAUCCUCCAAGGCUAAAUACUCCUGACUGACCGAUAGUGAACCAGUACCGUGAGGGAAAGGCGAAAAGAACCCCGGCGAGGGGAGUGAAAAAGAACCUGAAACCGUGUACGUACAAGCAGUGGGAGCACAGAGCAAUCUGUGUGACUGCGUACCUUUUGUAUAAUGGGUCAGCGACUUAUAUUCUGUAGCAAGGUUAACCGAAUAGGGGAGCCGAAGGGAAACCGAGUCUUAACUGGGCGUUAAGUUGCAGGGUAUAGACCCGAAACCCGGUGAUCUAGCCAUGGGCAGGUUGAAGGUUGGGUAACACUAACUGGAGGACCGAACCGACUAAUGUUGAAAAAUUAGCGGAUGACUUGUGGCUGGGGGUGAAAGGCCAAUCAAACCGGGAGAUAGCUGGUUCUCCCCGAAAGCUAUUUAGGUAGCGCCUCGUGAAUUCAUCUCCGGGGGUAGAGCACUGUUUCGGCAAGGGGGUCAUCCCGACUUACCAACCCGAUGCAAACUGCGAAUACCGGAGAAUGUUAUCACGGGAGACACACGGCGGGUGCUAACGUCCGUCGUGAAGAGGGAAACAACCCAGACCGCCAGCUAAGGUCCCAAAGUCAUGGUUAAGUGGGAAACGAUGUGGGAAGGCCCAGACAGCCAGGAUGUUGGCUUAGAAGCAGCCAUCAUUUAAAGAAAGCGUAAUAGCUCACUGGUCGAGUCGGCCUGCGCGGAAGAUGUAACGGGGCUAAACCAUGCACCGAAGCUGCGGCAGCGACACUAUGUGUUGUUGGGUAGGGGAGCGUUCUGUAAGCCUGCGAAGGUGUGCUGUGAGGCAUGCUGGAGGUAUCAGAAGUGCGAAUGCUGACAUAAGUAACGAUAAAGCGGGUGAAAAGCCCGCUCGCCGGAAGACCAAGGGUUCCUGUCCAACGUUAAUCGGGGCAGGGUGAGUCGACCCCUAAGGCGAGGCCGAAAGGCGUAGUCGAUGGGAAACAAGUUAAUAUUCCUGUACUUGGUGUUACUGCGAAGGGGGGACGGAGAAGGCUAUGUUGGCCGGGCGACGGUUGUCCCGGUUUAAGCGUGUAGGCUGGUUUUCCAGGCAAAUCCGGAAAAUCAAGGCUGAGGCGUGAUGACGAGGCACUACGGUGCUGAAGCAACAAAUGCCCUGCUUCCAGGAAAAGCCUCUAAGCAUCAGGUAACAUCAAAUCGUACCCCAAACCGACACAGGUGGUCAGGUAGAGAAUACCAAGGCGCUUGAGAGAACUCGGGUGAAGGAACUAGGCAAAAUGGUGCCGUAACUUCGGGAGAAGGCACGCUGAUAUGUAGGUGAAGUCCCUUGCUCAUGGAGCUGAAAUCAGUCGAAGAUACCAGCUGGCUGCAACUGUUUAUUAAAAACACAGCACUGUGCAAACACGAAAGUGGACGUAUACGGUGUGACGCCUGCCCGGUGCCGGAAGGUUAAUUGAUGGGGUCAGCGCAAGCGAAGCUCUUGAUCGAAGCCCCGGUAAACGGCGGCCGUAACUAUAACGGUCCUAAGGUAGCGAAAUUCCUUGUCGGGUAAGUUCCGACCUGCACGAAUGGCGUAAUGAUGGCCAGGCUGUCUCCACCCGAGACUCAGUGAAAUUGAACUCGCUGUGAAGAUGCAGUGUACCCGCGGCAAGACGGAAAGACCCCGUGAACCUUUACUAUAGCUUGACACUGAACAUUGAGCCUUGAUGUGUAGGAUAGGUGGGAGGCUUUGAAGUGUGGACGCCAGUCUGCAUGGAGCCGACCUUGAAAUACCACCCUUUAAUGUUUGAUGUUCUAACGUUGACCCGUGAUCCGGGUUGCGGACAGUGUCUGGUGGGUAGUUUGACUGGGGCGGUCUCCUCCUAAAGAGUAACGGAGGAGCACGAAGGUUGGCUAAUCCUGGUCGGACAUCAGGAGGUUAGUGCAAUGGCAUAAGCCAGCUUGACUGCGAGCGUGACGGCGCGAGCAGGUGCGAAAGCAGGUCAUAGUGAUCCGGUGGUUCUGAAUGGAAGGGCCAUCGCUCAACGGAUAAAAGGUACUCCGGGGAUAACAGGCUGAUACCGCCCAAGAGUUCAUAUCGACGGCGGUGUUUGGCACCUCGAUGUCGGCUCAUCACAUCCUGGGGCUGAAGUAGGUCCCAAGGGUAUGGCUGUUCGCCAUUUAAAGUGGUACGCGAGCUGGGUUUAGAACGUCGUGAGACAGUUCGGUCCCUAUCUGCCGUGGGCGCUGGAGAACUGAGGGGGGCUGCUCCUAGUACGAGAGGACCGGAGUGGACGCAUCACUGGUGUUCGGGUUGUCAUGCCAAUGGCACUGCCCGGUAGCUAAAUGCGGAAGAGAUAAGUGCUGAAAGCAUCUAAGCACGAAACUUGCCCCGAGAUGAGUUCUCCCUGACUCCUUGAGAGUCCUGAAGGAACGUUGAAGACGACGACGUUGAUAGGCCGGGUGUGUAAGCGCAGCGAUGCGUUGAGCUAACCGGUACUAAUGAACCGUGAGGCUUAACCUU